rnacentral:tRNA from 1 species
CAGAAUAUAGCUAAAUAUAAAGCAUCUCACUUACACCGAGAAGAUAUCUAUGAAACUUAGAUUAUUUUGA